GACCAGACUCCUACGGGAGGCAGCAGUGAGGAAUAUUGGUCAAUGGGCGGAAGCCUGAACCAGCCAAGUCGCGUGAGGGAAUAAGGCCCUACGGGUCGUAAACCUCUUUUGCCGGGGAGCAAGGGCGGGGACGUGUCCCGGCCCGGAGAGUACCCGGAGAAAAAGCAUCGGCUAACUCCGUGCCAGCAGCCGCGGUAAUACGGAGGAUGCGAGCGUUAUCCGGAUUUAUUGGGUUUAAAGGGUGCGUAGGCGGGCUUUUAAGUCAGCGGUAAAAAUUCGGGGCUCAACCCCGUCCGGUCGUUGAAACUGGGGGCCUUGAGUGGGCGAGAGGUAUGCGGAAUGCGUGGUGUAGCGGUGAAAUGCAUAGAUAUCACGCAGAACCCCGAUUGCGAAGGCAGCUCACUGGACUGCAACUGACACUGAGGCUCGAAAGUGUGGGUAUCAAACAGGAUUAGAUACCCGGGUACA
rnacentral:rRNA from 1 species